UACUUCAUUGCUGAAGGUUGUGUCCCUGA
rnacentral:sRNA from 1 species